GUGGGGAAUCUUAGACAAUGGGGGCAACCCUGAUCUAGCCAUGCCGCGUGAGUGAUGAAGGCCUUAGGGUCGUAAAGCUCUUUCGCUGGGGAAGAUAAUGACGGUACCCAGUAAAGAAACCCCGGCUAACUCCGUGCCAGCAGCCGCGGUAAUACGGAGGGGGUUAGCGUUGUUCGGAAUUACUGGGCGUAAAGCGCGCGUAGGCGGAUUGGAAAGUUGGGGGUGAAAUCCCGGGGCUCAACCCUGGAAUGGCCUUCAAAACUCCCAGUCUUGAGGUCGAGAGAGGUGAGUGGAAUUCCGAGUGUAGAGGUGAAAUUCGUAGAUAUUCGGAGGAACACCAGUGGCGAAGGCGGCUCACUGGCUCGAUACUGACGCUGAGGUGCGAAAGCGUGGGGAGCAAACAGGAUUAGAUACCCUUGUAGUCC
rnacentral:rRNA from 1 species